GAAUGUUGUUGGGGGAGGGGGGAGCGAUACUAAGAACCGACCGAUUCAAAGGGCGGUUUCCCUCCAACAAUUCCGACCGGCUUCAAUGUCUAAACACUGGAAUCCAGGAAGAAUUAGAAAGAAGGAGGUGGGGUGGGAGGUACGGAAGAAAGCCCCGAAGCUCUCCUGCCUUAACGUUCUGCGUAGGGCUAAACCUUCCCUCUCCGCUCCUCUUUACCCGACUCUGCCUCACUCCCUCACGUCGGACCCUUUCCCCAUUCGGCCUCAGGCUGGAUGACCCUGUCGGAGACAAUGGGAAAAACUAGAGAGAAAAUUCUACAGGACGCUGUUCAGCCCCGGUGGGGGUUUCCCUCAAGUCUCUGUAAUUUCUUGCAGGUUCCCAUAAAGCCGUGUUAUUGCAUCUUACGUAAUCCUGAAACUGUUCUCACCUACCCAUGAUGCUUGAGCCUUGAGCCUUGUGUUUGUAUGUCGGAGCAGAAUUAUGACGGCGUAAGAGUUGCUCUUUUUUCUUUCAGAGACGGCUCUCACACAGUAAGUCUGAUCACUGGGGUCAGGAGAUGGAGUUCAAGAAAAAUCCCAACUUGAACAUGAAUUCCACAAGUCACUCUGGGCCUUGGUUUCCUCAUCAGUAAAAUGUUUAAGCAGGAUCAUUUCUAAAUUCCUUUUUCUAGUUCUUCGGCUCUAAAACGAAGGGUGUUGGACUAGAUGAUCCCUGAAGACCUGAUUUCCAGAUUUUGGAUUCUGAUCUAAGAUAUAACAUUAUUAAAAAAGAAAACCACCUCUCUGUCCACCUCGACACACUAUUCAUACCUCCAAGGAGUAAUUUUGACCGUCUAGAUUUCUCCAGCCUAAAGAGCAGAACAAAGAAGCCCCAAUGUCACCAAUACCGAGGACAACCACACCUCAAGGUCCCCCCCUCUGCAAUGUCAACUCCCUUGGAAGCAAAUAUACACUUUUCGAAAUGUUAUAAAGGAAUUGGACUCAUUCAUCUGUAACCCCAAACCCCUGGGGCCUAAUUUCAGUGUUCUUACUAAAUUCAGAUCACCAGCUUCAGUGACAAUAAGCUUCCAUUCGCACAGCCCUGUUCUUCCUGAAAAGAAACAAGAUGUCCUGGAAGUUGCAAGCUAAAAAUACUACUAGCCUUUCAAAGCUGGUUUACAAAAAAAAAUGAAAAAGAGGAUUAUAGGCAACUCUAGAAGAAUGAAGAAUAACAGGUGGGAAUCAAAGAGAAGAAGAUUUUGGUUUAAUACAAAGAAAAAAGAAAAGAGCUCCUGGAAUGGAUUCCCUCUCAUUGGAUGCCUUUGAGCCAAGAUAUAAAUGCUCACCCUGAAAACUUAACCAUCAGCUUACCCCAGUUCCAGCAUACCCCUGGAUGGAGAUGUCACAAAAUCAAACCGAACAUGUGAUUUCAGAAGUCUCCAAAGAACAGGAGUCAUUGCUACAGGAGAUGAUGAAGCAGAGAAGUGAAAGAUAAGGAGACCACCAGGGCAAAACAUUUGUGUGAAGCUUUUGCCAAAACCACAAGUGAGGCAUCUGAAUUCCCUGGGUACACGACAGCUCAUAGGGGAAAAAAAAAAGGGGAAAGCUACCAGCAGCAGGCAGCCAAUCAAAACGCCAGCGGCUGUAAUGAGCGGGAUUGAUGACUGUUUGGCUUUACUGCAGGGUAAUGAACUAGAAUCCAGUCUGAGGAGAAGAAAUAUGAAUAUUCAUGAAGCUGUGCUCCUGCCUUUGAUGAUUAAAGAAAUUUUUAAUAUUCAAAUAAGCGUUUGCCAAGUGAUUAACAAAGAACAAGCACGCAGAAAUAUGGAAAUGGAGCUGGGGAAGAUUUGAGAGUCACACAGUCUGUGCAGGGAAAAACUGCACAAAAUUUCAUAAACAAGAUAGGCAGAUAACCCAAUUCAAAUUCGAGAAAAUAAAAACAUUUCUUUCUAA